rnacentral:misc_RNA from 1 species
CUCUCUCUCUCUCUCUCUCUCACUAUAUCUCUUUCUCACAUGCCUCCCUCUUCUUAUUUAUCUCUCUCUCUCUCUCUCAUCAAGUCACUCUGUCUCUCUCUCCCUCUUGUUCUCCUAAUUUUUUUGCUUAAUUAGCUAGACUAAGAGAGAGGGGGAGAGUUGGAUAAAAAUUAGAAGAUUGAGGGAGAGAUAGAGAACUAAAGAAAGAGGCAAAUAGGAAGAAAGAGAGACACAGGAGGGAGAGACCUAC